rnacentral:rRNA from 1 species
UAGAGUGUAAAGGCAUAAGGGAGCUUGACUGCGAGACCUACAAGUCGAGCAGGGUCGAAAGACGGACUUAGUGAUCCGGUGGUUCCGCAUGGAAGGGCCAUCGCUCAACGGAUAAAAGCUACCCCGGGUAUAACAGGCUUAUCUCCCCCAAGAGUUCACAUCGACGGGGAGGUUUGGCACCUCGAUGUCGGCUCAUCGCAUCCUGGGGCUGUAGUCGGUCCCAAGGGUUGGGCUGUUCGCCCAUUAAAGCGGUACGCGAGCUGGGUUCAGAACGUCGUGAGACAGUUCGGUCCCUAUCCGUCGUGGGCGUAGGAAAUUUGAGAGGAGCUGUCCUUAGUACGAGAGGACCGGGAUGGACAUACCUCUGGUGUACCAGUUGUC